CUCAAUCCUUCAUUAUGUGUGUCUGUAUAUAAAUAGUUCCCAGUCUAGGCAGAUUAAAACACAAGUUGUAAUAAACCGAAGAUAUUUCGAAGGUCACCCCUGCUGAGCUCUUCUCUACCGUCCAAACUUAUCUAAACGCCGAGGAUUUAUUCAUAUACCAAAUGUCCUUUAACAAGAUAGACUGCCAAAGAAACAGAGGAAGCAAGGAACCGACAAUGAGCUCAUCAGUAAUAUGUUUGUGAUGUAAUUUUUCUUAGUUUAAGCGAUGAUUUUGAAAGAAAUGUUUACUUUGCGGAGGAGGCGGAGAGCAGCAGGACGAGUGAACUUCCUGGCGAAGAGGAAGCACGGCGACGGUUUCCCUUUACUACUACACCAUUCUCGCCGAUAUUCCGUCUCGUAGUUGAUAUUGUCUAUUCCCUGUGAAUCAAUGUGUUUGGUUAGUGAUUCAACUUCUGUUUUAAGCUUGUAAAGAGGGUUAAAGCCAUAGCAAGAAAAAACAAGAUACAUAAUAGAGAUUUUUAGUUCUACCA